AUUCAGAUGAAAUGAAAACAUCUUGGCAAUGUAUUUUAUAAGACUGUGGAUGUGAGAUUCAAACUGCUUCAAGUUCCUCAACUUCUCCACAAGCACAGACUGUAACCGGGAAUGGUCAGCCAAAUAAACCUUUCACUUCUACGUUCCUUUCAUAGACAGGAUUUAUCACAGCAACAGGAAGCUGGACAAAGACAGGACUUGAGUUAAAAGAUUAGUGGCUUCCCCCUUAUGCAUAAGGGGAUGGAAUAAUCCUUCGUUUGCUCCAGCGUUUGCCGAAAUUCUGCUCGGGAGAAAAACAAGCCUCAGUCAUGUGGAGAUUGGAGCACUGGAGGAGAUUCCAGGGUGCCUGAUGAUUAACAAAUCCACCUGAAAUGAUGAACGCCAGACUCAGGGAGAGACUGUGUCUAAAAUAAAAUAAGGUAGAGAAUGAUGAAGCCGGAUGCUGAUCUCCGCUUUCUACUCGCGCAGACACAGAUUAUGCCGAUGACUGCCUCUGCGAGGAAGACUGGUGAAUACUCUGUGUCUUCCUAGAAAAUGAUGAAGAAGCUUUAAGACAACAUUAGUCAUGGUCCUGGAGGACUUCAGAUCAUUCAUUUGUGCUGUUCUUUCCUGUUGUUCUUCUUCUGAACACCGGUGGAUCUCAUGUGUGGAAUGGGCUUGAUCCCUGAGAGUGCCACUGCCGUAUCUAUGAAGCACUGAAGGAAAUUGCAACAGAUUCUUUUUUUUUUAAUUUAAGUCUUUAUUUCUGAACAGAUUCUUAAUAAUUUAAAGAGAGAAGUUUCACGCUCUGGAGAGAAUGAAGAUUUUCACAGUGUAUUAGAGAAAUUGGUCAGGAUCAGAAAUCCUUGAUGAUUUAUACAUGUGUGAGAGGAGCACAUUGUAUGGCUUGGAGUAGGUGAGAGCAGAAGACUUCCUAUUUGAGGAAGUUCCUGGGAUUUAGAGUUCCUCCGUAUUUAGACUCUCAGAAACAAAACGAAAGUCGGUGAGAAUAUUGAGAUUUUUUUCUUGAUUAUAUGGAAAAUAUCUUUUGAAAUUAUUUAAAAUCUUCACCAAAGAGAUCCAUAUGUCUGUCAAGAUCUCAUGUGCUCACCAUGGAAAACUGUAGAAUGAGAUGGGACCCAUCAUUUGGGCCAUGAUGUAAGUUUCUACUAGUCUUGGGCUGUAGGUGGGAUAUAUGGAGAAGCAUUAUGACAUCAAGCACAAAGAAGAACAAAUUGGCACUCUUAGAAGAAGUGUCUUAAAGCAUUUGUUUAAAAGGCUUGGUAGUUGUUGGGCUUGGAAGUUUAUACCUUUUAUCCCAUCACUCCAAGGCAAAGAUAGAUAAAAGUCUGUGAGCCCCAGCUCUGCUUGGUAUAAAUAGAUAGUUCCUGGCCCACCAAGGCUGCAUAUUAAGAUAAUUUCAACAACAACAACAACAACAAAAACAACAACAACAACAAAGAAGACAUCCAUAUCGCCUCCCCCAAUACUCUUAUAAGCAACUACUAAAGAGUUAGAAUGUGUAUCGUGUUUUCUUUGUUAUAUCAUUAUAUUAUCAGUGCCCUAACAGGAAUCUAUUCAGAUAUUCACACAUCCCCAGGAAAAGUCAGUAAACUUCUCUAGUCAAAUAUAGGUAGGAAAGGGGGUUGGGCAAGUUGAGGGUUAUGUUGGAGUAACUUAGUACAGAAUAGAAGUGGAAUUGAGAAAAACAAUGGUGGGUCAGAGAAACAACAACACUUAAUCAGUGUGAACAAAAACAUAUUUUGAAAUCUGGUUAUUUUUAAUAAUUGAGUAUACUCCAUUGUGUAAAUGUACCACAUUUUCUGUAUCCAUUCCUCUGUUGAGGGGCAUCUGGGUCCUUUUCAGCCUCUGGCUAUUAUAUUUCUGGCUGCUAUGAACAUAGUGGAGCAUGUGUCUUUGUUGUAUGUUGGAGCAUCUUUUGGGUAUAUGCCCAGGAGUGGUAUAGCUUGAUCCUCAGGUAGUGUACUAUGUCCAAUUUUCUGAGGAACCAACAGACUGAUUUCCAGUGGUUGUACCAGCUUGCAAUCCAACCAACAAUGGAGGAGUGUUCCUCUUUCUCCACAUCCUCGCUAGCAUCUGUUGUCACCUGAGUUUUUUAUCUUAGCCAUUCUGACUGGUGUGAGGUAGAAUCUCAGAGUUGCUUUGAUUUGCAAUUCCCUGAUGACUAAGGAUGUUGAACAUUUCUUUGGGUGCUUCUCAACCUGUGAAGGCUUGAUGCCCCGGUAGGGGAAUGCCAGGGCGGGGAGGUGGGAGGGAGUAAGUAGGAGGGUGUGAAAGCACCCUCAUAGAAGCAGGGAGAGGGUGGAUGGGAUAGGGGUUUUCUGGAGGGUAAACCAGGAAAGGGAAUAACAUUUGAAAUGUAAAGGAAGAAAAUAUUCAAUAAAAGAAAUGAAAAAAGAAAAGAAA
rnacentral:lncRNA from 14 species